UUAAGUUCAGCGGGUAUCCCUACCUGAUCCGAGGUCAACCAUAAGAGUGUAGGUUCUGGCAGGGAACCGCCGGGCUCUAGAGCGAGAGGUGUACUACGCUUAGAGCCGGGCGGUACCGCCACUGGCUUUGGGGCCGGCCGCGGGGGCGUGGCCCAACACCAAGCAGAGCUUGAGGGUUGAAAUGACGCUCGAACAGGCAU
rnacentral:misc_RNA from 1 species